rnacentral:rRNA from 1 species
AUCUGGGUGGCGAAAUUCAGAAUGGCUGGGCGGGCUUCGUUGCCUGUUCGGUCGUUUGAUAUUUUCGUCACCGUGUCAGACGUCGCGACCUGUUCGUUGUCGGUCCCUGCUCGGAGGAAUUGCGAUCGAGUUCGUUGUAGACGCGUUUCGGCGCGUCAAACGGCGAAGACGUGAAUCUCUGGCUGACGACGGACAGUAAGCAAUGGUUGCCGAUGUUGUGUCUCGUACGCGGCGUCGGCACCGGUCAGCGACGAUUUCUUCGGGCCUCUUUCCGACCCGUCUUGAAACACGGACCAAGGAGUCUAACAUACGCGCGAGUCGCGGGGUAUCGAGCGUACUACGGUACGUUCGGCACAUUAGAAACCCGUAUGUUGAAGGCGUAAUGAAAGUGAAUAGGGAAGAUGGUGUUCCGAGUAUACGUACUGUGAUAAGUCACAGCCGGACGCCCGCAUUCCCGGGGCGUCUUAAUAGUCCGCUGCAGAUGCGGUCGGUCGUCUUUCGGGGCGAUCGGCGGUCUGCUCCGGUCUGA